GGAAGAGGCGAGGGUACGCAUCAAUUUGUAGUCUUCAGUUGGCACCCCUGUUUUUUUUUCUCCUGCAACGAAUAGAAAGAGAUUUCUUCUGCAUUAUUGUUAUUAUCGGAGCCCGUUGCAAUAUGAGCCAGCACAAGCCUCUGUUGACAGACGCCUGGGCUCUGAGGUGUGCGUGUCAGCGUGCAACAUAAAACGACAAAACAGAGGGAGAGAAAGGAAAGGGAGAGUGAGAGUGAGAGCACGCAUCGCUGGAUAUUAUAGGUUUUGCUAGCUCUCAUGGUGUAACACACAGCCCAGUCAGUAAGCAACAGGAACCAGUUCAGCCCCUGCAAUGGCUUGUGUUGUAAAAUGGAUGUUUUAAAGAAGAAAUAAUGAAAACACGGACGCACAAAGAAUCGAUGCCCAUGCGCAGUGGGCGACGACGGGGGGCGAGUGAGGAGAGAAGGGGCAGACGCCCGCACACCAGCCCCACUCGCCCUGAACGCAACGAUAGACAGACGCAAAGAGGUGCUGGUGAGGAAUUGGCUGGAAAUCGCUUCAGUCGCAGAUCACAAGGGCAUGAUUCAUCAGAGAGUGAGGGGGAGGAACUUGUGUCUCCUCCAAAGAGGCAGAAAGUUCAGGAUUCGGUCUCUACCCCAAACCCUCCAACAUCAACACACUCGACUGACAGCUCGGCUCCCUCUACUGUCCCACCUCCAACCUCAGUUGCCAGCCAAUCCCGUGAGAGUGACAACGAAGACGGCCAAUCCCAGGGCAGUAGGAGUUCAGUUGUAGGGAGCUUGGCCAAUAGCAGCAGUAGUCUGAGCAGUGGGCGGGAUAUAGACCAGGACAAUCGUUCCUCAUCCCCAAGUCUCUCCGCUUCCCCUUUGGGUAGCCUGGACUCUGAUUCCGAUGGCCCCGAUUCACCAAAGCAAGGAGAGAGGGAACGGGAGAAAGGCAAGGAGGGAGGAGUGGGGAAGGUGUCAGCAGACGAUAGGAGAGCGCUACGAGAGGGGAGAGGGGAGGAGUCCUGUGGAGAUGGAGAAAAGCGGGAAUUGGAUGCACGAAUUGAAGACUGUCCGUCUCUUAAGCCCCCCUCCACUCCAUGCUCUUCCUCGGGUCUGACUCCCUCUCUCCGUGGAGCAGGGGAUUCAUCAAACGACAGCAAUAGUGGGAGGAAAUCCUAUUUCUCGUAAUAUAGAUUAUAUAUAAUAAUAGUAUAUAUGUGUGUGUGUGUGUGUGGUGUGUGUGUGUUGUGUGUGUGUGUGUGUGUGUAUUAUAUAUUAU
rnacentral:lncRNA from 1 species